UCGUGCUAGAUGGGGAGAUGGCGGUGCCCUGUAACCCGCAAUCCGCCUUAGCGGGGUUGAAUUCCCAUUGAAGGUGCGCUUCAUGUAAGGUCUGCCUUAUGCAAGUGGUGUUGACAACUGGGUCCUGCGCAACAGGAACCCAUGAACCUGGUCAGGUCCGGAAGGAAGCAGCCAUAAGUGGAUCAUUCUGUGUGCCGCAGGGUAGCCUGGUUCGAGCUAACUACAUGAGUAACGCUUGGUUGGUCGUAUCGACAAUGGGUGCACGG
rnacentral:SRP_RNA from 1 species